rnacentral:rRNA from 1 species
UGAGUGAUGAAGGUUUUCGGAUCGUAAAGCUCUGUUGUUAGGGAAGAACAAGUGCGAGAGUAACUGCUCGCACCUUGACGGUACCUAACCAGAAAGCCACGGCUAACUACGUGCCAGCAGCCGCGGUAAUACGUAGGUGGCAAGCGUUGUCCGGAAUUAUUGGGCGUAAAGGGCUCGCAGGCGGUUUCUUAAGUCUGAUGUGAAAGCCCCCGGCUCAACCGGGGAGGGUCAUUGGAAACUGGGAAACUUGAGUGCAGAAGAGGAGAGUGGAAUUCCACGUGUAGCGGUGAAAUGCGUAGAGAUGUGGAGGAACACCAGUGGCGAAGGCGACUCUCUGGUCUGUAACUGACGCUGAGGAGCGAAAGCGUGGGGAGCGAACAGGAUUAGAUACCCUGGUAGUCCACGCCGUAAACGAUGAGUGCUAAGUGUUAGGGGGUUUCCGCCCCUUAGUGCUGCAGCUAACGCAUUAAGCA